GAAGUGGCCUAUUCGAUUAUUUUAUUCUCGCAGUUGGUUGUAUGUCAUUUAAUUCAAUUGUUAUAAUCAAUAUGUUAUCAUCAUUCACAGCGAACCAGGCUUUAAUUUGCCAAAAAGUUAACUAUCAAAUCGGUAGACAUUGUAAACUGGAUUUAAAGACGCAAUUAAAGCUUUUAUCAACUUGUGAACGAAUCAAUAUUCACAGAAUUGGAUUCAGUCUUGGAGGACUUUACACUUUAGAUUCAUAUCAUUUUCUUUUGGUAAGUUAAUUACAAUUAGCG